CAAAUUUGAAAUCUGGCCGUAAGGUCCGAGUUGUAAUUUGUAGAGGAUGUUUUGGGCACCGCGGCGGGUUAAAUUUCUUGGAACAGAAUGUCAAAGAGGGUGAGAGUCCCGUCUUGGCCCGCGGUAGGACCUAUGUAAAACUCCUUCGACGAGUCGACUUGUUUGGGAAUGCAGGUCAAAAUGGGUGGUAAAUUUCAUCUAAAGCUAAAUAUUGGCCAGAGACCGAUAGCGCACAAGUAGAGUGAUCGAAAGAUGAAAAGCACUUUGAAAAGAGAGUUAAACAGUAUGUGAAAUUGUUGAAAGGGAAGCGCUGGCAACCAGACUCGAGCGCGGUGUUCCCCCUGGCUUCUGCCUGGGUUAUUUCACCGUGACCGGGCCAUCAUCAGUUUCGAGGGCUGGUUAAAGAUUCGGGGAAUGUAUCCUCUCCUUCGGGGGAGGACUUAUAGCCCCGGAUGUCAUGCAGCCUCCCGGGACUGAGGAACGCGCUUCGGCGAGGAUGAUGGCGUAAUGGUUGUCAGCGACCCGUCUUGAAACACGGACCAAGGAGUCUAACAUCUAUGCGAGUGUUCGGGUGUCAAACCCUUGCGCGGAAUGAAAGUGAACGGAGGUAGGAAGGUGUCACAACCUGCACUAUCGACCGAUCCUGAUGUCUUCGGAUGGAUUUGAGUAAGAGCAUAGCUGUUGGGACCCGAAAGAUGGUGAACUAUGCGUGAAUAGGGUGAAGCCAGAGGAAACUCUGGUGGAGGCUCGCAGCGGUUCUGACGUGCAAAUCGAUCGUCAAAU
rnacentral:rRNA from 2 species